UACAGAGGGUGCGAGCGUUAAUCGGAAUUACUGGGCGUAAAGCGUGCGUAGACGGUUAUCUAAGUCGGAUGUGAAAGCCCCGGGCUCAACCUGGGAAUUGCAUUCGAGACUGAAUAGCUAGGGUGCGGUAGAGGGAAGCGGAAUUUCCGGUGUAGCGGUGAAAUGCGUAGAUAUCGGAAGGAACAUCAGUGGCGAAAAGC
rnacentral:rRNA from 1 species